UGGGGAAUAUUGCACAAUGGGCGCAAGCCUGAUGCAGCCAUGCCGCGUGUGUGAAGAAGGCCUUCGGGUUGUAAAGCACUUUCAGCGGGGAGGAAGGCGAUAAGGUUAAUAACCUUGUCGAUUGACGUUACCCGCAGAAGAAGCACCGGCUAACCCCGUGCCAGCAGCCGCGGUAAUACGGAGGGUGCAAGCGUUAAUCGGAAUUACUGGGCGUAAAGCGCACGCAGGCGGUCUGUCAAGUCGGAUGUGAACUCCCCGGGCUCAACCUGGGAACUGCAUUCGAAACUGGCAGGCGAGAGUCUUGUAGAGGGGGGUAGAAUUCCAGGUGUAGCGGUGAAAUGCGUAGAGAUCUGGAGGAAUACCGGUGGCGAAGGCGGCCCCCUGGACAAAUACUGACGAUCAGGUGCGAAAGCGUGGGGAGCAAACAGG
rnacentral:rRNA from 1 species